ensembl:lncRNA
GGAAUUUCUCAGGUUCGCUAGAGGGCGGAGUUUGUGUCUCUCCUGCACAGAGUUAAUGAUUCUGCAAGAUGCAAGAUUCCGUGCAGAGUCGAAGGCUCUGUAAAGGGGCGGAGUUUGCAGUUCUGUUAGGCGGGGCACAUAACUGCCUGUGAAUUGUUAAACUCUGGACGGAGUUCAUACCUCUGCGAGGCCGGCCUAAUCACUACUAAGGCAUCGGGGCACUCCGCGACCCCCACUUCCAUCCAGCAAGCCUGCCCCUCGGCUUCUCGGAGGUUAAAGCUCAGCAGGAUCUGGCAGGGGCGUCUGGUUUGAGUUAGGGGAACGUGAGAGCAGCGACCGUGGGCGAUCCUGGGACUUCUCAGCUUUGAGCAGCCCGAGCCCUCGCUGGCGUGUGUUCUCUCUGACCCCGCACCAUCUUCACCCCGAACGAAGAAGUAUGCAGUGUGGCCCUGAGCCGGUUGCUUUGCUCCAGAGUCUGCCCGGGAGAUGGACCUGGGCUCUCUUGAGUUCCUGUUUUCUCCACCUCAGCCUCCUGGGCUCUGAUUUCUGCCCCCUCCCUAGAGCAAGAGGGAGGAACGCCUCCCAGAGCACCUACAAUCCAGAGAGGGGGGCAGCAUCCUUAGGUGACCUGAGCCCCAGCCCCCAACUUCUGGGCAGCCUGCCAGGAUGGGAAGGGAUGUUCUAAAGAAAGUUCAGGGGAACUCACCCCCUAGAUGCCCCCUUUAUCCCCCCAAAUCAGCAGCCCCAGAGCCUAUUUUUGACCCCUAAACCCCAAUUUUACUGUGCAUCAGCAGAAGCCCUAAUCCCUAAAUCCUUCUCUAGUUUCAGCCUUGCCUUCCUGGAGUUUUGGCAAAAAG